rnacentral:misc_RNA from 1 species
CGGAAUCUUUUGACUAUAGUAUACAAAGCAUCCCCGCCGGGGGAUGGAGUUUUGAAAGCUGCCUGUCUGCACGCAUGGGUUCGGGUCUCGCGCAAUGGAAACCUGUGAACCGUGUCAGGAUGGGAACAUAGCAGCACUAAGCGGGAUCUUUCAUGUGCCGCGAGGGUGCCUGGCUCUGUGGCCGGCAGGCAGCUUUCAGCGCUUCAUCCCGGCGGGGAUUUCC